rnacentral:rRNA from 1 species
UACGAAGGGUGCAAACGUUGCUCGGAAUUAUUGGGCGUAAAGCGCACGUAGGCGGCGCAGUAAGUCCCAUGUGAAAGCCCACGGCUUAACCGUGGAAGUGCAUGGGAAACUACUGUGCUUGAGUACUUAAGAGGAUCGCGGAAUUCCCAGUGUAGCGGUGAAAUGCGUAGAUAUUGGGAGGAACACCAGUGGCGAAGGCGGCUCACUGGACCGGUACUGACGCUGAGGCGCGAAAGCGUGGGGAGCAAACGGG